CGUGUAUGGACCAUUCUGCCACUCCAUCAUGGACUUGUCUUUUCCAUUUCGCCCACUCAAUCAAACCACACCACACCAGAUGCCACUGUUUAAGCAAAUCAAGUCACACCGUCCGAUCCAUCCAUCAAUCUCGAGGAGCAAAUAGAGUAUUAUAUGCUUGUGGAGCUGUCUUAGGAUCAUCCUGAGUUUUUGGUCAUGUGUCAG
rnacentral:sRNA from 1 species